UGCCUUUAUGUGUUGCCUGUUCAUUUCUCUCUUAAUGAAUAAGGUGUCAACUAAGGCAUACAGUAACCUUCUAGUUGUCUUAGAAAGGGAUGGUUCAGUGGUUCUUUUUGACAAGACAAACUACAAGA